AACGAACGUUGGCGGCGUGGAUUAGGCAUGCGAGUCGAACGCGAAUCCCUGGGCAACUGGGGAGGAGAGUGGCGAAAGGGGCAGUAAGGCGUGGGUAACCUACCCUCCGGGCCGGGAUAGCUUCGGGAAACUGAAGGUAAUACCGGGCGACGCAGCGAGAUCGCAUGGUCUUGCUGCCAAAGGUCCGCCGCCGGGGGAGGGGCUCACGUGGUAUUAGCUAGACGGCGGGGUAACGGCCCACCGUGGCAAAGAUGCCUAGCAGGUGUGAGAGCACGACCUGCGCCACUGGAACUGAGACACUGGCCAGACACCUACGGGUGGCUGCAGUCGAGGAUCUUCGGCAAUGGGCGCAAGCCUGACCGAGCGACGCCGCGUGUGCGAUGAAGGCCUUCGGGUUGUAAAGCACUGUCGAGGGGGAGGAAGCCGCAAGGUUGACCUAUCCCUGGAGGAAGCACGGGCUAAGUUCGUG
rnacentral:rRNA from 1 species